rnacentral:rRNA from 1 species
UUAUUCAGUAGUUUAAGACAUGCGAAUCGUUUUUACCGAAAGUAAUUUUAAAACUAAAAAUAUAUUAGGUAAAAAGGUGUAAAGGUGAGAAUAGUAAAUAAGAUACCCUAUAGUCUCCGUAAAUAGGAGAUAUUUCUUUAAAUUUAAUAAAGAAAAUAAUAAGCUUUAAUUAUCCAAAAGGAAUUUUUCUGCUAUAGGAUUCGAUUUAUGUUGAUUAGGUAGUUGGUAGGGUAAAGGCCUACCAAGCCGACAAUCGAUAGUUAAGCUUGAUAGAGCCACUGGCCACAUUGGGAAUGAAAUCUCCCAAGUAGUAUAACACUACCAGCAGUCAAGAAUAUUAGUCAAUGCUCGCAAGAGUGAACUAGCUAACUGAAAUCAAUAAAAUAUUGAUAACGUAAGGGAAAAUAAUGAUAGAACCUUACUAUAAGUGUCGUCCAAAUCUGGUGCCAGAAGACUCGGUAAGGCCAGAGACGCGAACGUUAAUCGUCUUAAUCAGGCGUAAAGGGUGUGUAGGCAGCUUUGACAUUAUCAAUUUUCAAUUAGCACAAUAUAAAAUUAAUAAAAGCUUUUAACUUUUUUUAAUUAAUUAAAUUAUUUUUAUUUAAGAAAUGUUUAUUAAAAAAAGAAUUAUUAAUAAAAUAUAAAGGAAGAAUGAUAACAAUUAAAGCUAGAAUCAAAUAGAGGUUAUAUUAAAGAAUGCUUGGAGUAGGGCUGAUAUCCUUAGAUACCAGGUAGAAUAAAAAAAGCGAAGGCUUUUUUCCAUUAAUGAUUGACGCUGAGACACGAAGGGGAGGAAAGGAAAUAGGAUUAGAUACCCAAAAUACCCCUCCCUGUCAACGAUGAAUGGUGGUUACUAGUUAAAAAAUUAGUGGCGAUGUUAACACGAUAACCAUUCCGCCUUGUGAGUACGACUGCAAAGUUAAAAACAAAAAAAUUAGUCGGUUUCGAAGCAAACGAAGUGAAGCAUGUUAUUUAAUACGAUAAUCCGCGUAUAAUCUUACCAGGACUUGCAUACAAACUUUUAUAUUUAGUAAUAAAUAAAAAGGAGUGUAUUUAGCCCAAUAAAACACUUAAGUACAGGUGUUGCAUGGCUGUCUUCAGUCCGUAUCGUGAGAAGUGAGGUUAAUUCCGCUAACGGACGCAAUCCCUAUUGUUAAUUCAUUGUAUAUAAAAUACUUCAUACUUAACAAUUAAUGGUUCUGAUAUAGUACCAUUUGGGGCUAAGACAAGUCGUUAUGGCCCUAAUGUCCUGGGCUAUAGACGUGCCACAAAAACUUUUACAAAGUGAUGCGAAACUGUUCUCUGCUUUUGUAGUUUUUUAUUAAUUUUAAUUUUAGGUAUACUAUUUGAUUUUAAAAUAUAUUAAUAGAGUUAAAUUACAUUAGAUUUUAUACCUUUUUAUAAAUUGGAUAAUAUGAGAAAUAAGGAAGAGCUAAUCAUCAAAGAAAGUUAAUUUAUUAAAAUAUUAGUCGGAUUGUCGUCUGAAAUUCGGUGACAUGAAGAAGGAAUUUCGAGUAAUCGUUGAUCAUUAGGCGCAACGGUGAAAUUUGCAUUCGUGAUGAACUAACUGUCUGUCGCUGGGAAGAAGUUUAUAUUGAUGGAAAUAUGACGAAGUUAUUGUUUUUCAUAGAUAUACACUCAUUUUGCGUUGAAUUUUCUUUGUUUAAUGACUUUAAGUUUGGUGUAGUUUACCUUGAUUAUUUAUUUAAUCCUUGAGUAAGUAAACAUCUAUGUCAAUAUAAUUAGUUGGACUUAAUUCAUUUAA